GCUCACUUCAGUAGUACAUAUACUAAAAUUGAAAUGAUACAGAGAUUAGCAUGGCCCCUGCACAUGGACGGCACGUAAAUUUUUGAAGCGUUCCAUAUUUUU